AUCCCCAAGGGCACCGGUGUCUUUAUUAUUUUUAGGACAUGGCAAGAUGGUGGAAACGGAAGAACUCGACAGCACGAAUACACACGGCAGGGUGGUGACGACAUCCUGUGCAUUUGAGGACCUGCAAUGAAACCAGAAGCCUACUGAAAGAAAAAGAACACAACUGAG